rnacentral:misc_RNA from 1 species
CCACUGGUCUCUUGGUGAG